rnacentral:rRNA from 1 species
GACGAACGCUGGCGGCGUGCUUAACACAUGCAAGUCGAACGGAAAGGCCCUGCUUUUGUGGGGUGCUCGAGUGGCGAACGGGUGAGUAACACGUGAGUAACCUGCCCUUGACUUUGGGAUAACUUCAGGAAACUGGGGCUAAUACCGGAUAGGAGCUCCUGCUGCAUGGUGGGGGUUGGAAAGUUUCGGCGGUUGGGGAUGGACUCGCGGCUUAUCAGCUUGUUGGUGGGGUAGGGGCUUACCAAGGCUUUGACGGGUAGCCGGCCUGAGAGGGGGACCGGCCACAUUGGGACUGAGAUACGGCCCAGACGCCUACGGGAGGCAGCAGUGGGGAAUAUUGCACAAUGGGCGGAAGCCUGAUGCAGCAACGCCGCGUGCGGGAUGACGGCCUUCGGGUUGUAAACCGCUUUCGCCUGUGACGAAGCGGGAGUGACGGUAAUGGGUAAAGAAGCACCGGCUAACUACGUG